GACAGAGGGUGCAAACGUUGUUCGGAAUUACUGGGCGUAAAGCGCGUGUAGGCUGCUUGGAAAGUCGGAUGUGAAAGCCCUGGGCUCAACCUAGGAAGUGCAUUCGAAACUUCCAAGCUGGAGUGCUGGAGAGGAAGGCGGAAUUCUCGGUGUAGAGGUGAAAUUCGUAGAUAUCGAGAGGAACACCGGUGGCGAAGGCGGCCUUCUGGACAGUCACUGACGCUGAGACGCGAAAGCGUGGGGAGCAAACAGG
rnacentral:rRNA from 2 species